CCAUGCCCAUGGCAUGUGGAAGUUCCUAGGCCAGGGAUGGGACCCAGGCCACAGCAGUGACCUGAGCUGUGGCAGUGACAACAGCAGAUUCUUAAUUCACUACACUGCAAGGUAACUCCCAAACUGUUUUUAAUGUUUGUUUUUUAUAACUGGUUUUGAUUCUAAAUUUCCUCUGCAUGGACUAAUACAAUCAGUGUCCUAUAACAGACUAGAAAUUUGGGCUUAUUUUUCAUUGUCUUCAACAUUAGUUAUCAUCUGCAUUUAAAACACACAGUGACGGUCCCUUGUCACAUUUUUUUUUCUAUAUAGAGUCAUGUAAAAACUAGCCUUGAGAAAUAAAUGAAUGGAAAGAAGUGGAUAGAUUAUUUAUAUUCAAUUACUUUUAUAUUGAUUUCUUGGAUUCAAAAGGAGGCCCCAAGGAGCAGAGUGGCCCAGGGAAGGAAAGUCAGAAAAUGCAUAGAGUUCCAUAGGAAGUCAGCUUUAUUUCGGGUGUCAAUUUCAGAGGAAAUAUAAAGAAAUUAGAAUGGUCCUAUUAGGGGGUGAAGUUCCUGACUAAGUUUCCAAUGCCAAAUACUUUAUAGAAAUGACCAUAAACAACACCAAAUUUGAUCAAAGUACAUUUUCCAACAUGCAUGUCUAGUCAAUGCAUUUUUCUGCUUAGUAUCCUUUAAUGACUGCCCAUUCGUUUUAGAAUAAAGAUAGAAUUCCUUGGCAUUGCGCUUGAGGCUUUUAAAGCGAUGGGCCUUCUCUGCCUCUUACGGGAUGUCUGGUCUCUCUCUUGAGGCACACUGUGCUCCGGCCCCGGACACGACCUCACCCGCUUUCCUGCUUCCACACGCCGCACAGACAGCCAUGUUUUACACCGUCUUUUAAAAGGUGGCUGCAGGGCCAGCACCUCCUCUCAGAUGUCUGCCUUGGCUGCCUCCCCUUCGCCCCGGCUCAGCUCAGCUCAAGUCAAGUUCAGAACAUGCUCCUUUAGGGUCCGUGCAGCAUGUCCAUACCCUCAUGGUGCUCUCCCCAUGGUCAUGAGUUGGUUUCUGGUCUGUCUUUCCAAUGAAGCUGAACCCCGUGAGGGCCAUGACUUUGUUCAUUUCAUCUGAGCCCCCUGCCCCUUUGGCAGAUGUGGGUACUCUCAACCUGCUGUUUGGUCCAGUUCUUCUCAACUCCUCCUUUUUAGCACUAAAAGUACGAAAGAAUGGAUUCUGCAUUUAAACAGGUAUUUCAUUGAAGACCAGAGACAAAUGCUAUUGGUGCUAUGCUGCAUGGGUGGUUUAAAAGAUUUUCGAAGUUAAUUUAUGUCUAUACCUGAGCGUUAUGAGCACACUAGUGCCUGACUCCUGCGUAAGAUAAAACCCCACUAUAAUUAUUUUUUAUUUGCUAUCUACACCUUACAAAACUUUUCAGUUUAAGAAGUCUUUUAUAAAAUUUUUAUUUUUUUAAAAAUUUUUUUUAUUUAUGUAUUUAUUUAUUUUGUUUUUUAGGGCUGCACUUGUGGCAUAUGGAAGUUCCCAGACUAGGGGCCGAAUUGGAGCUACAGCUGCCAGCCUACACCACAGCAACAGGAUCUGAGCCGCAUCUGUGACCUACACCACAGCCACAGCCAGAUCCAAGCCGCGUCUGUGACCUACACCUCAGCUCAUGGCGAUGCCGGAUCCGUAACCCACUAAGUGAGGCCAGGCAUUGAACCUGCAUCCUCAUGGAUACUAGUCGGAUUUGUUUCCACUGCACCACAAUGGGAACUCCUGUUGAAGUAUAGUAGACUUACAAUGUCGUGUUAGUUUAUGGUACACAGCAAGAUGAUUCACUCACACAUAUAUGUAUAUAUUCUUUUUCAUAUUCUUUUCCAAUAUGGUUUAUUACAGGAUUUUGAAUAUAGUUCCCUGGCCAUACAGUAGGACCUUGUUGUUUACUCAUUCUAUUCAGCUUAAGGACUCUAAUGCUAUACCUCAAUAAAGUUCAACUUUAAAAAUUCAUUAUAAAGCUUUCUAUUUUAUAAAGAAAAGGAACAAUAACAUAAGUAUCUUUUUUGGAAGAAGAGACUAUUAUUUAUUGGAUUUGUUUAGCAAGGGAUUUGUCAUGGUUAAAAAUUAGAACUGGGGUUAAUGGCUGUAAAAGAGGUACCCUCAGGAAGAAAUAAAUUAGAAUGUUUUUUGCACUGACAUUGACAAUUAAAAUCAUUUAUUUAUUUAGACAGAGGUGGCAUCCAUUUAUUAUAUUUAGUGUUGCCGCUUGGAAAGGAAACUGCUGAGCUGCACUUAGGCAAAUCGAAUAUGUAUUAUAUUUCUUGGGCCAACCAAGUCAGUAUUAUACAGGGCAACGAUUCUCAGGAAGAAAAUGCUCUCAUUUAAGCUCCUCAACAGGAUUUCACAAUCAAGCUAAAUGAGGAUUAAGGUGACAAAUCUGCUAAAAGUGAUUUCUAGUUUUUCUGUCAUUUCUUUUUUCUCUGUGAUGUCUUGUAAGUUAGAAAAUAUAGGGACGGUAUUGGUGGAUCAAAACAUACAGUCUUAACAAUCAUUUGGAAGAUUUUAUGUGCUGAUGGCAAUUUAUAACAUGACUUGCUCUACUCAGGUUUGUGAUGCUUCUCUCCCUUCCUCCCCAGCUGUCACUAAAUUUCCUAUUUUCUGCUGCCAAAGCAAAGUUUCUCCAGGAUGAUCUUUGCUUAUGGCCUGAGAAUCACUUGGAGAUCAUGUUAAAGACGCAGGUUCCUGGGCCCUACCCCAAGCCUACUGAAUCCAAAACCUUGGUCAUAAAGGUACCUCCCCCCAUAUUGGUCAACCAAAUGGGCUUUGAUUUUUCUCAGAGCAAGACUUCUGGAGAUGUCUGGAGGUAGGUAAACUGGGGUAGUAGGUGUGGUCUCAUGGUACCUUGAGAGACCAGAGUCCUUCUGGCUUUUUCACGUAUCUUCAUCUUCAUGCUCUCAAAAUGACUGCUCCAUCUGCGAGAGUGAGUUGCAAUGCAGGAAGGAGGAAAGGGGAAGGCAAGGGAAGUCCAAAGGCCCGUGGCACUGAUAUGUGUCCUUAGAAGCGCCAUCACUGAAUGCCUCUUAUUUUUCACAGACCCUCUCUUCAUGAGCUUCUUAAAUCAUAUUUUCUGAUUUAACCUAAAUUUAUCUACCAUCCUAUAUGGUGCUCAGUGUCUGUAAAGCAAAUACUUAGGACAAUUACAUUAAAAUCACGGGGGAAUAAAGAGACCUAAAUGUGAGUUCCCCUUGUGGCGCAGCAGAAAUGAAUCUGACUAGUGUCCAUGAGGAUGCCGGUUCAAUUCCUGGCCUCGAUCAGUGGGUUGGGGAUCUGGUGUUGCCAUGAGCUGUGGUGUAGGUCACAGAUGCAUCUCAGAUCCCACGUUGCUAUGAUUGUGGUGUAGGCCGGCAGCUGUAGCUCUGAUUUGACCCCUAGCCUGGGAACUUCCAUAUACUGAGGGUGCAGCCCUAAAAAGAAAAAGAAAAAAAAAAAGAGAGAGAGAGAGAGAGACCUACGUGGCUUCUGAAUUUAUUUUAUUUUUGUCUUUUUAGGGCCAC
ensembl:lncRNA